rnacentral:tmRNA from 1 species
GGGGGUGUUCAGGUUUCGACGGGGAGAUGCCUUACCGAUGGUAGCGAGCCGAGAUUCCACCGAUCUCGUUAAACAGUGGGCCUUUUUUAUAACUGCCGAAGAUAAUUUGGCUCUCGCCGCUUAAGGCGCGUCCGCGUACUUUCUUCCGAUGGGAGUGCGUUGGGCGUCAACUACGUCGGAUACCCGCCUGAGCUGGACUCUCGGCUCUUUGCGGGGAAAUUCAGAGGGCAUGGAAAGCGCAGAUCCGGCUUCGGGGAGCUCGCCGACCGAGAUUAAAACUGCAGCUACGCUCGUAGAAGCUGUCGCGGAGGACUUUUCGGACGCGGGUUCGAUUCCCGCCACCUCCACCA